rnacentral:lncRNA from 1 species
GUGCUGGCUCCUAAUCUCACCAAGCACAGAGGUCUGUUACCCGGUCCAUCAUAGGGUCAUGCAUUCCUCACCCUUCCCCGUCCUCUCCCCAGGUGCCAUGCAUCCCAGAGACAGCAGGGCUUGAGUGGGCUACCUGGGCAACCCUCCCCUGCAUGGCCCGGCCUCCCACCUCCUCCACGGGGGUGUGUGUGUGUGUGUGUGUGUGUGUCUUAAAUCAUGGCCUGGCGGCUAAUUCUUUGCAGCUUGCGGGUUGCUGCCUCCAUGAGCAGACAGGAGGGCGCCCUGACACAGUUAAAGAUCACAAGCUUUGAUAACUGGGCCUUCUGAUUUACGGUAAUCCAGGUCUCCACGUUCCCCUAAUGAGGGGAACUCGGAGUGUCAACCCGUUUAUUAAAUGCUCAGAACCAUGUGUGAGCCGGACUGAGGGUCCCUGGACACUGGGUUCCAGCUGCUUACUCGGAGAAGACUUUGUAUGGAGUCUGGCAAAUCUUUCCAGCUGAGCAGGGAGGAAAAUAUUUCAGCACAGACAUUUGUGACCCUUCAUGAAGCUCCAGAGUUGGAAGCCAGACCGGGACCUAUAGUCCUUGCUCCCACACAUCAGGCCCAGGGCCCGGGUUGGCAGCCCCUGCUGACUUUUUCCUGCUGUUUGGAAAAACACCCCUCCGGUCACCACCUUCCAACUCACAUUGCCCACAACGUGGAUGCCAGGAGGGAACAGGAAGUGGCUUGAGAAAAUAAACCCAGCUCACUGGGCCUGUGGAUGGCA